GCGCCAAUAGUCUUAAGAGAGCGGUAUCGGGUUACGCGCGAUUGUUGUAAUAAUUACGUGUCACUCAUUCCUGCGUACGUACGUGUUACGCUAUUAUUUAGGCCGCGCCCACCGUUGCAGACACAUUGUCUGGAGACCAUUCGAAAUGGACAAGAACGUUCGAUACGUAUUUCUGGACACGUGUCCCAUUCUGUGGUCAAAUCGCUACUUAAAAAUUUAAAUGGAAACAUUCAAAUGUGAAAUUUGGCAAAACGCGAUAUAGAGACUUUCGAGAGGAAGCCCCGGCUACGCAUUUACAGAUGGACACGUUCGCACAAAAGGAAGCGACCUGUCUUUUUGCGGCACGCACGAGGAUGCGAGAGAUUUCAUUUCGUAAAUUAUCAUUGAGCUCUGUCUGCAUGAACCAUAGCUGUCCGGAGAGGACAGCAUUAAUUACACCGGCAGGAAACCAUCGCCCUCGACAAAAUAUGUAGCCGGACCGGUGUCCGUAAACGUAAUAUUUCCGCGCACCGUCGCGCGUCAACUGCCUCAAUUUGUCAAAACGUUCGCAUCGUGAGUUGUCGGAGCAAUUUGACACGGGUGCCCGGUCUCGCCGAAUCGACGUAAAUUGCGAUUCGUCGCGUCAUUGGGCCGCGCGUGAUCGCAAAACUCCUCCACGCGCUCGCCAACUUUCGAAAAGCCG
rnacentral:misc_RNA from 1 species